AACGAACGCUGACGGCAUGCCUAACACAUGCAAGUCGAACGAGACCUUCGGGUCUAGUGGCGCACGGGUGCGUAACGCGUGGGAAUCUGCCCUUGGGUUCGGAAUAACAGCGAGAAAUUGCUGCUAAUACCGGAUGAUGACGUAAGUCCAAAGAUUUAUCGCCCAAGGAUGAGCCCGCGUAGGAUUAGCUAGUUGGUGAGGUAAAGGCUCACCAAGGCGACGAUCCUUAGCUGGUCUGAGAGGAUGAUCAGCCACACUGGGACUGAGACACGGCCCAGACUCCUACGGGAGGCAGCAGUGGGGAAUAUUGGACAAUGGGCGAAAGCCUGAUCCAGGCAAUGCCGCGUGAGUGAUGAAGGCCUA
rnacentral:rRNA from 1 species